rnacentral:rRNA from 1 species
GUUGGCUUAGAAGCAGCCACUCAUUUAAAGAGUGCGUAAUAGCUCACUAGUCGAGAGAUCCUGCGCCGAAAAUGUCCGGGGCUAAAACUUACCACCGAAGCUACGGGCUUGCGUAAGCAAGCGGUAGGGGAGCGUCGUAAUCGGGCUGAAGUCGUACCGUAAGGAGCGGUGGACUGAUUACGAGUGAGAAUGUUGGCAUUAGUAGCGAGAUGUAGGUGAGAAUCCUACAGGCCGAAUAUCUAAGGUUUCCUCAGGAAGGCUCGUCCGCUGAGGGUUAGUCGGGACCUAAGCCGAGGCCGAAAGGCGUAGGCGAUGGACAACAGGUUGAUAUUCCUGUACCACUACCAUCGUUAUUAUCGAGGGUGUGACGGAGAAGGAUAGUGUGUGCUAGCGAUUGGAAAUGCUAGUCUAAGCGUUUAGGCAGUUACGGUAGGCAAAUCCGCUGUAACGUUAAUGCUGAGGCGUGAUGGGGAAGGCCCUUGAGGCUGAAGUACAUGAUUCCAUGCUUCCAAGAAAAGCAUCUAGAGAGAGAAGUAGUGCCCGUACCGCAAACCGACACAGGUAGAUGAGGAGAGAAUCCUAAGGCCGGCGGAAGAAUUGCAGUUAAGGAACUAGGCAAAUUGACCCCGUAAGUUAGCGAGAAGGGGUGCCUGCGAGAGCAGGCCGCAGAGAAUAGGCCCAAGCAACUGUUUAGCAAAAACACAGGUCUCUGCUAAAGCGCAAGCUGAUGUAUAGGGGCUGACGCCUGCCCGGUGCUGGAAGGUUAAGGGGAACACUUAGCGCAAGCGAAGGUGUGAACUUAAGCCCCAGUAAACGGCGGCCGUAACUAUAACGGUCCUAAGGUAGCGAAAUUCCUUGUCAGGUAAGUUCUGACCCGCACGAAUGGCGUAAUGACUUGGGCACUGUCUCAACUGCAAAUCCGGCGAAGUUGUAGUGCGAGUGAAGAUGCUCGCUACCCGCGAUUGGACGGAAAGACCCCGUAGAGCUUUACUGUAGCUUAGCAUUGAAUUCCGGUAUUGUCUGUACAGGAUAGGUGGGAGACUGGGAAACUAGGGCGUCAGCCUUAGUGGAGUCGUCCUUGGGAUACCACCCUGACAGUACUGGGGUUCUAACAGGACGCCAUGAAUCUGGUGACUGGACAUUGUUAGGUGGGCAGUUUGACUGGGGCGGUCGCCUCCUAAAAAGUAACGGAGGCGCCCAAAGGUUCCCUCAGAACGGUCGGAAAUCGUUCGUAGAGUGCAAAGGCAGAAGGGAGCCUGACUGCGAGACCUACAAGUCGAGCAGGGACGAAAGUCGGGCUUAGUGAUCCGGUGGUACCUCGUGGGAGGGCCAUCGCUCAACGGAUAAAAGCUACCUCGGGGAUAACAGGCUGAUCUCCCCCAAGAGUCCACAUCGACGGGGAGGUUUGGCACCUCGAUGUCGGCUCGUCGCAUCCUGGGGCUG